CGGGUGCUCAGAAAACAAGUGCUGCUGAUCAACAACCUCAACUAUGUUGCCCAGAUUCAUUAUUCAGGAGGAUUUCUCAAAAAUAAUUGAGACGAGGCCUUAAGGAAAGGCAAUGAGACUGGAAUUACAAAAGGAGUGGCCUUCUACUUGAAGACAGUGCCAGAGAGUUGUGUAGGCUGGAGUGCAGUGACGUGAUCUCAACUUACUACAACCUCUGCCUCCCAGAUUCAAGUGAUUCUCCUGCCUCGGCCUUCUGAAUAGCUGGAAUUAUAGGUAUGCACCACCAAGCCCAGCUAGUUUUUUGUGUUUCAGUAGAGACAGUUCCACCACGUUGGCCAGGCUGGUCUCGAACGCCUGGCAUCCAGUGAU